rnacentral:lncRNA from 1 species
CGAGAUCUGAUGGUUUGAUAAGCAGAAACCCAUUUCGCUUGUCCCUCUUCUUUUUGCCUGCUGCCAUCCAUGUAAGACAGGACUUUCUCUUCCUUGCCUUCUGCCAUGAUUGUGAAACUUCCCCAACCACGUGGAAAUCAGCCUUGGCCCCUUCGCUGAGGAAUCAUAAAGACUUCCUGUUUCACUUAUCUUACAUCGGGCUUCAGCUGUGAAGCUCAAAUAGUUGGGAGCUGCCUGUGACUGUAUCACUGGAACCACCUAUCUUGGGCCUGGGUUCUGGCUGUUGUCUAGUUUCCUUCAUUAUUUUCUACUUGGCCUCUCCAUGUGGCUAAAUUGAGCUUCCUCACACUAUGAAUAUUUCAAGAGAGAAUUUCCUGGGAGGAAGACAUGAUGUGGUCUACUGAGUUUACAGAAACCAUGCUGAAAUGUACAGAUUUUAAUUAAUGACUUCUAAUGGAGAUCAUUUUGUAAUCAUUUUAGCCUCAGUUUUCUAAUUGGGGUUGACAUCUACUUCACAAGACUGUUG